GUGUUGAAGCUAACGCGAUAAGCACUCCGCCUGGGGACUACGGUCGCAAGACUAAAACUCAAAGGAAUUGACGGGGACCUGCACAAGCGGUGGAGCAUGUGGUUUAAUUCGAUGCAACGCGAAGAACCUUACCACUCCUUGACAUGGGGACUAGAUCCUUCUUAACGGAAGGGCGCAGUUAGGCUGGGUCCCACACAGGUGCUGCAUGGCUGUCGUCAGCUCGUGUCGUGAGAUGUUGGGUUAAGUCCCGCAACGAGCGUAACCCUCAUUCUUAGUUGCCAGCGGGUAAUGCCGGGCACUUUAAGAAAACUGCCGGUGGUAAACUGGAGGAAGGUGGGGAUGAUGUCAAGUCAGCACGGCCCUUAUGGGGUGGGCUACACACGUGCUACAAUGGUAGCUACAAUGGGUUGCAAUGUCGCAAGGCGGAGCUAAUCCUCAAAAGCUAUCUCAGUUCGGAUUGUCCUCUGCAACUCGAGGGCAUGAAGUCGGAAUCGCUAGUAAUCGUGGAUCAGCAUGCCACGGUGAAUACGUUCUCGGGUCUUGUACACACUGCCCGUCACGCCAU
rnacentral:rRNA from 1 species